rnacentral:tRNA from 11 species
CGUGGCCCAGUGGUUCAAACAUCCGCCUCGUAGCCCAGGGGAUGCCGGUUCAAAUCCCG